AUGAAACCGGACAAUGAUCCCAAACACCAACAAAUUUAUAACAGAAUGGCUGAAAAAGAAAACAAGGUGUUGAAAUAGCCCAGUCAAAGUCCAGACCUCGACUCGAUUUGAAAUUUUGUGACAGGAUUUCAAGAGAACUGUGCCCAAACAAAUACCAGCAAACCUCGAUGAACUGAUGCAACGUUCUAAAGAAGAGUGGGCCAAAAUUCCUCCACAGCAACGGAAGACUGAU